GCAAACUUGGUCAUUUAGAGGAAGUAAAAGUCGUAACAAGGUUUCCGUAGGUGAACCUGCGGAAGGAUCAUUAUCGAAUCCUUAGGAUGUUGCUGGUCUUAGGACAUGUGCACUCCGCCUUUUCUAUACACCUGUGAACUUAUUGUAGGUGGCAAGUUAGUUUUACUACUUGUCUACCUAUGUUUUUAUAACACACCCUUAAAAAUGUAUAUUGAAUGUCUAAAUACGGCCUUUAUUGGUCAGUAAACUUAAUACAACUUUCAACAAUGGAUCUCUUGGUUCUCGCAUCGAUGAAGAACGCAGC
rnacentral:misc_RNA from 1 species